rnacentral:lncRNA from 1 species
ACCCCGUUAAGGUAUUAAAGUGCGGAGUAGUAUUUGUUAGUUAUUGCAUGAUAUUACCCGUCCAAAUCUUAUCAGUCACGGAGGCAUUGAAAUUACAAAUACCAAAGGGGAGGGAGUUGGGGAUUUUCAGAGUUUUAAAAAGGAUAAAAGUCUAGGCGACAAGCAAAAACACAUAAACAGUUAGGGGAAACAAAUAGCAAUUAAGGCUCAAACAAUCCUCCUCACUUAAAAGAGCAAAUAAAGCAUGAAUUCAAAUAUUGGUUUGGUCUGAAUUAAAUAAAGCAUACUGAUUCAUCUGAUAUUUC